rnacentral:misc_RNA from 1 species
AGAAUCUUCGUCAAUGGGGGAAACCCUGAACGAGCGACGCCGCGUGGAGGAUGAGGCCUUCGGGUUGUAAACUCCUGUUGGGGGGGAACAAAUUUUGAGUGAACCCCCGAGGAAGCACGGGCUAAGUUCGUACCAGCAGCCGCGGUAAGACGAACCGUGCGAACGUUAUUCGGAAUCAUUGGGCUUAAAGGGCGCGUAGGCGGCGGUGUAAGUUGGAAGUGAAAUCCCAUCGGCUCAACCGUGGAAUCGCUCCCAGUACUGCAUCGCUCGAGGGGGAUAGGGGUCCGCGGAACUACCGGUGGAGCGGUGAAAUGUGUUGAUAUCGGUGGGAACGCCAGUGGCGAAAGCGGCGGACUUGACCCUUCCUGACGCUGAGGCGCGAAAGCUAGGGGAGCAAACGGGA